rnacentral:rRNA from 1 species
UACAGAGGGGGCAAGCGUUGUUCGGAAUUACUGGGCGUAAAGGGCGCGUAGGCGGCCUGCUAAGUCGAACGUGAAAUCCCUGGGCUCAACCCAGGAACUGCGUCCGGUACUGGUUGGCUUGAAUCCGGGAGAGGGAUGUGGAAUUCCAGGUGUAGCGGUGAAAUGCGUAGAUAUCUGGAGGAACACCGGUGGCGAAGGCGGCAUCCUGGACCGGCAUUGACGCUGAGGAGCGAAAGCCAGGGGAGCAAACGGG